CUAGCGACUUCAGAGUUUGAUCCUGGCUCAGGAUGAACGCUGGCGGCGUGCCUAACACAUUCAAGUCGAACGGAGUUAGAUUGGAAGCUUGCUUUUGAUCUAACUUAGUGGCGGACGGGUGAGUAAUGCAUGAGCAACCAGCCUUAAAGAGGGGGAUAACACAGAGAAAUUUGUGCUAAUACCGCAUGUUUUAUGACGAGGGCAUCCUCGACAUAAUAAAGGAGCAAUCCGCUUUAAGAUGGGCUCAUGUCUGAUUAGAUAGUUGGUGAGGUAACGGCUCACCAAGUCUACGAUCAGUAGCCGGACUGAGAGGUUGAACGGCCACAUUGGAACUGAGAUACGGUCCAG
rnacentral:rRNA from 1 species